CCAGACUCCUACGGGAGGCAGCAGUGGGGAAUAUUGCACAAUGGGCGCAAGCCUGAUGCAGCGACGCCGCGUGGGGGAUGACGGCCUUCGGGUUGUAAACCUCUUUCAGUAGGGACGAAGCGCAAGUGACGGUACCUACAGAAGAAGCACCGGCCAACUACGUGCCAGCAGCCGCGGUAAUACGUAGGGUGCGAGCGUUGUCCGGAAUUACUGGGCGUAAAGAGCUUGUAGGUGGUUUG
rnacentral:rRNA from 1 species